CGAUAGUUGCAAAUCCGAGACAAACAACAUGAGAAAAACACCCUGAGUCGCCAGCUCUUCACAACCAAACCGUGUGUCUCCCAAGCCUCAACCCAUCGCGGAUUCAAGUUCCAUUCAUGCAGAUCGAAACCUUUCACACAUGCAACGGUAAUCAUCUCCCACUUGGUUCAAUAUACAUAUCUCUCAGCUUGCUAAAAAUCUUUGAGAGCUAUGUUUCGUGAUGAGUCUGGGUAGAAGCUUACACUGAUUUUCUUCCGUAUUAGGUACCCGAGAUGCACAAAGAGACGGAAAAGACUGACUCGAAUAGUCCCCAAACUCACGGAUCUGCAAAGUUGGAGGUUAAAACCGUUACCCUUGUGAUUGAUUGAACUGUGAUCUGGUAUUUUGUUAAGAAAACUAGUACUGUGACUAAAAAAUGACACUCAAAUCCAGUGUAGAACCGAGAGAAAACACCCCCUGAGCUGCCGAUCCAGUGGUCCCAGAAGGCUGAAUAAACGGCAAAUGCCUCGGCCUCUGCAAAUCAGGAAGGUAAAGAUCUUGUUCUUCUGCUUUCACUCAGCUCAACAUGUACAGAUUCAACUACAUUUCAUUUAUAAUGCCAUAUUGACCGUGUAUAUACUCCCAGAAUGACUUUAUACGAACUGAAAACAUACAAGCGCUUGAAAAACUUGGAUCUCGAAACUGGUAACAACUGCGGACUAGAACACAUUUGCUCCCAGAAAAGAAUGAAAUAAGCCCUGGAUCAGAACUGAGAACAUACAUGUAGACCAUGUGAACUGGAACCUUUUUGAGGACAUAAUGAAAAACCCAUCCCGGACUGGAAUAAUGAAAUACUAUUCAACUCCAAUGCAUGAGUAAUAUAUCUGCUGAAAAAUAGUUAUGGUUUCUAACUCAUGAAUCUGGUGAUUUUUGUUUUGAUCUGUAUAGGAACUCCAGUUUGGUCCCUGCACAGAGGUAGAAGACAUGAUCAGCUCGGACAUCUCAGGUCCGAUGUCUAUAUGAAUGUAAGAUUAAUUCUAGACUUUGUUUGGGUCCUGAUCUGUAUAGAUGUUCGUUCUAUGUCCCUGCAUGUACUCAUAUUGGUACUCUGUGUAGGGAUAUGCGGAUCCCUCAUAUUGGUACUCAUAUUUGUGUUAGCCAUUCCUGUUAUGUUUCUGCAUAGUAUAGUGAUUAGAGUUUUUUAAUGAGAAGAAUUUGAAAGACCAAUGUAGAUGGAAGUCACAUUUGCACUAUUGGGGCGAAACUAUUGACACACCCCAUCCCGAAGAAGGGCAUGCUGGCCGUCACGUGAGAGUGACGUCACCAUUUGCACAGUACGGAAGCUUUAAUUAUACAACUUCAUAGGUAAUACACCCGAAGGUGCGUCCUAAUUUGGUCAAUUCUGUCAGAACCCCGCUGAAUUCCUCGUAGUCACCACACCUCUGCAAUUCUUUAACCUGGAGGGGCGCAAAACCAAAAUUGAGUGGGUCAGUAAAACAAAUCUUUUCAAAUCCAACUUUUCUCAAAACAUUGUAACCCCUCUCCGUAAAACUUGUAUACUUUCCCAGAAAUGUAAAAUAUAAAUAUACAUAUAUAAUCUCAAACUUCAAUUCACUUUUUCAACAUUUUUCAUAUCAGUUAUGCCAUGCUAUGUCUAAAUUCAACAGUAUAAUAUGAAUGCAUCAACAUAAAUCAGGUGAAAGAAAAUAAUCAACCGGAGGCCCUACAAUGGCCCUGUACGGCUGAAUCUAAAGCUCAAUAUCUCAUUCGGCCGGAGUCACCAACUGUGACCUGUACGGCCUAUUGCCGGAGUCACUAGCUGUAACCUGUACGGCCUCUUACCGGAGUCACCAACUGUGACCUGUACGGCACUACACUGCACAUAAGUCGGAACCACCUAAUGUAGUCUGUACGACUUAAUGGUUAAUAUUACGCUCUAGUGCUUUUCUCAUCAAUCAUCUGUGCACAUAAUCUAAGGUCACCCACCAGUCGGAACCUCUCUAAAGGUCUGUACGACUGGCCUGUCGGAACCAUCUCCUGUGGUCUGUACGACAGCAUAUACUUGGAUCCAAGGCGAGCGUGCGAUGCGGUGAAUACUAUAAGCACUAAUACCAUGGUGCAGGUUAUGAACCCAAUAUAUCUCAACAUCAUCAUAACAGUAAUAAUACUCACCUGUGCGUCCACCGCACCAUUUCACAUAUAUGCAUCAUAUAUCAUUUCAUACUUUUCAUAUCAUUUCUAUGCAUGGCAUUUCAAUUCCCGUUUUUCUAUAUACUUUUCAUAUCAUUUCAUGCAUGGCAUAUUUUCAUUCAAAUUCAAUUUCUGGGAAAAUGUCAAGUAUAUAUAUAUAUGGAAAACAAAACUGCCCACUCACAGAAUACAUCGACGUGUCGAAGGUCCCUGAGCCUCCCUUAGCCCUGCCCAACGUCCGUAUAAUCCUCGCCUAUACGAGAAGUAACCAAAUUGACGUUAUUUAACGCAUAAUUCCACUCUUAGCUAAUAACUCCUCAUAUAUUACUCAAAUUGGGUAUAUGAAUAUACCACUGUGACCUACACAACCUCAGGAUCAUUCCCAUAUUUUUAAAAUAAUUUUUGGAGUCCUCACGCGCCCCCACGCGCCUGACGUGGCACGGACCUACGCGCCCCCACGCGCGGCCACGUGCAACGCAUGCUGACGGCGUCAGUUAACGCCGUCAGGAAUAUUCCGUUAAAACCCCGGAAUAUUUCGUUAAACUUAACCGGAUACCGUUACUGCCGUUAGGAUAUUCCGUUAAGUUUAACGGAAUAUUCCAGUUUCUUCUCCGACGGUCCUUCGCCGGACUCCGGUCGCCGGAAACUGGGUAAUUUUUCAAAUCCACUAUUCUCCUUCGUUUUUCAACCAUUUUUCAUGUAAUUUAUACCAAAUUUAAGCCCUAAACACCUACUAUCACAUUGGACUAGUUUUAGGGCCUAAAAACUACGAGAUCAAACUUUUCAAAAAUUCAAGAAAUCGGCCAAACUUACAACUCGUGAUCCUGACGUCCAAUUCAUGCCAACGAAGCACUCCGAGCUUCAUUGGGACUUCCUUAAGCUCACUGUGAGCUUGGUUUCACCUAAAACAAAGCCAAUUCGAAGUUCGUGAACAGUGCAAUAUUACGGUGACUUUGAAACUAGGGUUUUCCGAAGUCAAACUUACUUGAAAUGGGUACCAUCGUGAUCGUAUGGUCUUCAGGAGUACGAUGGCACUCUUAAAUCCGUCGUUGGUGGAAGUUUAGGGUGGUUUUGGAGUUUGUCCGUGUGAGUUCGAAGGAGAGGGAGAGAGAACUGAAAGUUUCGUGAGGGAGGAGAGAGAGAGAGACAAUGUUACGGGUUAUGGGGAGGGUUUUGAGGUGUGGGGAUCCCACGUGUCCAACCCAAUCCCAAUUUCAUAAUUUCCAACAUAAAAAUCCAAACUUAAGCCUAGUUUAAGUUCCUAAAACCAAAUAACUUAGGAACUUAAAGUAAAACCAAUUGUUAAAUUUUCGCCCCUUAGUCCGUUUAAGGGCAUUUUCAUCUUUUCACGUCCUCAGAAUUAAAAUUCCGGGACGGGCUGUGACAACUAUGCAGUUGGUUUGGGAUACAGAGCAACAAUUGUGAAGUUAGAGCUCCAUGAGGUCCAUUUUUAGUGUGGUGCAAUUGUAACUUUGGAUCAGGAUAGUCUGCUCUCCCCUAUCUCAUCUCCUUCCUAUGCUUUUCUAUUUGAACGGUCAUAGUUAAGUCAUGUAAUUAUUUUAUAUUGAAUUUUUAUUUAUAGAGAUAAUAAAACAAAAAGUAUUGAAACUAUAAAAUGUUAAAAUAGUUUAACCGUGAUCGUUUAAAUAGGAGGGCAUGCGAAAGGGAUGGAAUGGAGGAGGGCAGACAAUCCAUUUAAAUGUAAAGUUCAUCAAUUUAACCAAGAACAUCAAAUAGCGAUGAGACAUAAAUUGAUAUAAUUUUAAAAUUUCACGUUUGACAUGACUGAAAGCUACAUAAAAUAAAAUUGUGUAUAAAUGAAAUUUUAUGUCUUCCCAAAAGAAAUUGAUGUGGGUAAAAGAAAAACAAAUAAAACAUUGACACUUCAUUUUAGGUGUAUAGAUUUUGAGGAAAUUAUAAACUCAACUUAUCAACACAAGCAUAUGUUUUUUUGUGUAAAUAAACACUUACUUUAUGAUGUAUAAUGAUUUACUUAAAUCGGUGUAGUAUGUCUAACCCCAAUCUAGGUCUCAUCUAGGUCCAUAGGUACUAGGCUCUAGCUUGCUACUCAACUAGUGCUUAGCGUGCUUUAAUUAGGAGUUAUCAAAAGUCUAGAUCUGCUAAUGUGUAUUUAGUGUUACUCUCUGUUAAAUGAAUAUUAAAUCAUAUAAUUAUUAUUGUUCAACAGUUAUUCAUUGUUGGUUGGUGUAUGAAAUUUAAUUAUGUGGACUGGAUAGAGACUUCUAAGUGCACACCCACUAUAUAUGUCAGCUCAUCUUCUAGUAAAAUCAGGUUUCACUGAAAUACCCAGCAAUGAAGAGGGAGUUAGAUCUCUCACCAAACAUUCAACCUCUCCCCUCUCACCUUUCAAUGUUUCAAACUUUCAACCUCUUCUCCCUUCUCAUCCUUUAACAUUCCAAGCCCUUCUUUUUUACUUGUUUUCUCUAAAUUUUUAAACCCACAUUUCAGAUUUGACUUUUGCCUUCUCUUACAGUUGUAAGUGCAACUUAAGAGGGAAAAUGUCACCGAAAAAAAUCCAAUCUAAGAAGACAGGUAAAUAGCUUUACCCUUUUUGUUUUUUGGUGUGAAAAGCGAAGGUUACAAUAUCUACAUUCCACACAAUGUAUAUGAUGGUAUGAUAUUCUUUGUAAUAUUAAAGAAGGCAUAAAAAAAUUUGGACAUUUUUUAGAGAUCUGGAUUUAUAUGGGUGAAAAGUGCAAAAUUACAUUUGAAGUCGAAGAUUAACAAUAUAUUUGCAUGCCCGAAUCAUAUCCAAAUAAAUAAAUAAUUGGAAGCCCAAGGUUCACAUGUAAUUUUGCAGUUUUCACUCAUACAGACCCAGAACUCGAAAAAAUGUUCAGUUUUUUUAUGCAUUCUUUAAUAUUACAGAGAAUAUCAUAACAUAAUAUGCAUUGUGUAGAUAUUGUAACCUACACUUUUCACACCAAAAAGAUAUAAAAAACAAAAGAGUAAAAUUAUUUAUCUAUCCUCUUGGAUUAGAUCUUAUUCUUUGGUAUUAUCCCUCUCAAGUUGCACUUACAACGGUAAGAGAAGGCAAAAGUUAGAUCUGAAAUGUAAGGUUAGAAAUUUAGAGAAAGCAAGUAAAAAAAGAGGGCCUGAAAUGUUGAAGGGUAAGAUGGGAGAAGAGAUUGAAAGUUUGAAACAUUGAAGGGUGAGAGGGAAGAGGUUGAAUAUUUGGUGAGAUUAUCUCUCUCUUUACGGCUGGGUAUUUCAGUUAAACUUGAUUUUAGUAAAAGAUGAGCUCUGACAUAUAUAGUAGUUGUGCACUGAGAAGUCUUCAUCCAGUCCACAUAAUUAAACUUUAUACACCAACCAACUAUGAAUAACUGUUGAGCAACAAAAAUUAUAUGAUUCAUUGUUCAUUCAACGGAAGGUAACAUUAAAUACACAUUAGCAUAUUCCGAAUUUUGAUAUCGGGUUCAACAUACUAGACCGAUUUACACAUAAAAAUGAAGUGCCAACGUUUGAUAAGUGUUUAUCCCCGCAUCAAUUUUUUUUGUUUUGGAAAGAAAUAAAAUUUUAUUUAUACACAAGACUAGUUAAUAAUGUAAUUAAACUUGCUAUUCAAAAUUUGAAAUGAAGUGCUAAUGUUUGAUUUGUUGGUGUUUAAUUGUGAUGGUAUUUGGUGAAAUGCACUGAUAAAAUAACACAAUUGUGUAG
rnacentral:lncRNA from 1 species